GCCAAGAGGUGGAAGCAGAGCAGGUGUUCGUUGACGGCGGAUCGACGCGACGGGCAGGAUGACUCAGCCUUAAAGAGGAAGGCAGUCCUGACCCAGGCUGCCGCGUGCAGGAACCCUGAGAGCCCCGCACUGCGGGCAAUGAGCCAGUCGCCGAGGGACCCGUCCGGAGGGAGUUCCUCGGGGGAGGCCCUACGGGAGUCGGACCCGUGGAGACAGCGCCCCGUGGUGGGGCCAGGGGCCGGGAGAUCUUUGUGCGUGUACUUAACCCUCCUGAGCGAUGCGCUGAAAAAUGACCAAGAUGGUAAACGUUAUGUUGUGUGUUUUUUUGCCCCAGUUUUAAAAACCAAGAUAACAUUUUUGUUCUUUUACUCAUCGGAUCAAGUCUGUUGGUGGUGGGAGUGUCACUCACGGAGCCGUGUCCAGAGAGAGUGAGCUAGGAAUAUCCUUAUCGUUUUAAACACACAUAUCCUUUGAUGUUGCUGGCUCUCCCUUGGAAAUCUCCAGAAUCGAAGAAGGGUGGCUGGUUGGCUUCAGGAGGAUCCAUGGCGUUCCACAUCCCCGGGCUCAGCCCCGACCGGCACUCAAGACACAGCAGGGGCUGUGUCUGCCCAAGUGCUACGACAGUGAUGAGAGGGCCCCCGCCCCCACCCAGCAGCGAGGGGUCCCCAGAGAGACACACCCAGUAAGACAGAAUAUGUAAAAAAACCAAAAAGCAAAAAGCGUAUUUAUACAUACAGGAUUUACUUCAGGAGGUUGGCGCGUGCCACUGUGGGGGCCGGCGAGUCUGAAAAUCCAUAGAGCCAGCAGGAAGCUCAGGCGGGAGCGGGUGUUGCCUUCUGGGGCAGGAUGUCCUCCCCUCGGGAAACCUCCUUUUGCUCUUGACGCCUUCACCUGAUUGGGUGGGGCCCACCCACACCCUCCAUGGUCGGCUCCGUAAGGCCAGCGGACUGUGGCUCUGGGCCACAUCUCCCAGACACCUUCGAAGCCACACCUAGAUGAGCGUUCGGUUGAAUAACGGGCCGCCACAGCCUGGCCAAGUCCCCUCGUACACCUGACCAAGGCAGGGGCAGCCCUGGGCUCUGGGGACCGGCGGGGCUGUGAGCAGCUCUGCCACUGUCUUCUGUUGGUCUCAUCUGCCCAGUGCAUCCGAUCAGAGUUCUCUCAAGGGACUGGCUGACGCACAGGUUGUCGUCAGUCAUUCUCCAUGUCCCAGUUGGUCGGUUUGACAAGGAGAAAUUAGAGUCGUCCCCGUCUUCUGGCCUUUCGGUCACCGGGCAGGUUGACAUGCGAACAGCCUUCUCCCUGCAGGGGGACCCUGCUCAGGGCUUGACGGCAGGGUCGUCACACACACGCGGCCUCGCAGACUCUGCUGUGAGCACGGCGGCGCUUGCUGAGCACGCACUGUGCACCAGGCGGCUUUAACCACUGUGCAAGUAUUAACUUCCUUAAUCACACAGCUAGGUUCUGGUAUUACACCCAUUUUACAGAUGAGGAAACUGAGGCCCCACAGGCUGAGUAACAUGCUCAGGGUCAUGCGGCACAUAGCGGGAAAGAUUCAGAAUUCAGACCCAGCCCCUCUGGCUCCAGAACCCAUUCUCUUGAGCCUCGAGCACGUACCGUCCUAGGAGGUCACUGUCCGUCCCUGUCAGACUGGGGAGGUGGCACCUGGGGGUGGGACACACCUCUGAGGGUCUUCGCCGCCCCCCAGAGUUACUCUUGGGGCAAAUGCAAGCCUCAUUUCUGUCUUGACGAUGCAUCUCCUUAUCCACAGCAGGACCUAAUCCCCCUUGUCUCUCCUCUGGAAUGUUUCGAGAAUUUGUGUCUGUCAGACGCUUUGGAGAAACAUGAAAAGAAUUUUUUACAUGCCAGGUCUUUUUUAAAAAGAUCAAUUAUAGGUUUGCCUUUGGGGGCAACCCUACGACAACCUAAAAUCCCAAACUUCCAUCCCACUGGAGCGAACAAAAACAGUCUCUCCGUGGGCUUUUCAGCGACCCUGCCGUCAUUUAGGGUUUCGCGUUCACAGGCACCAGGGAGAGCAGUGCGUGUGCCUGGUGAGCCCAGGAGCAGUUUUGCAGCCACGAGCCCUGGGCGUUCCCGGCGCGGCACUGCACGGCCGCAGAGCCGGCUGGUGUUUGCAAGUGGCGUUUGCACAAUCAAAGCCGUUCUGACAGGUCCUCUUGAGGGGGUCUGGUAACUAGACGCCCUGCAAACUGGAAGAAAUUAGCCCCGACCACAGACCAUCCAACAGAUCCGAAUUUAGUAAUACUUCCCAAAUGUGUGAAGCACUUAGUUUUGGAAUAACAGGAAGACGCGAAUCGCCUGGAACUACAGACUGGACUUUUCUCCUGGCCGCCACGUCCUCCCAGGGAGCCCCGCUCUCUCUGGCCCGUGAAGAGUGGUGGGCACAGCCCCGUGCAGCUGCCCAGUGUGCCCCCGGCCUUGGGGCUGGCAUGUCCUAGGGAGGGUGACAUCGCUGUGCCUUGCACUGCUGGCCUGGUGUGCUGGCGUGAGGAGCCUGCGAUCCACCCAGCCCUGGAAACCUGGGCACCCCUGUCAGGUCCAGUGGGCCACGGAAACCACCCCAGAAUCGCCGCCUUCCUCCUGCUCUGCUCUGCCCGGCUGCCCGCCUCACGGCGGCUCCAGGAGGCCCUUCUGACAAGAGCACGUUGUGGCUGCUGCCUGGCCCCUUCCUCGUCUCAAAGGGGCCUUUCACGGCUGUAAUCUGGGAGGGUGGGGAUGGCAUGGCCCGCUCAUUAGUCAGCUCCGGGCGCAGUGGUCCCAGCUCGCCAAGCGGGACCGGGAACCAGCCCUCACUCUGGAACCAGACCCAUCAUUUGGUUUCCAACAGGGAGCUCUCCGUGGGCAGCAAACUUGUCUGUCCAGGCGAGAAGUGGCUGCUGCUUCCUCCGACAGAGGUGAUGCAGGCAGCUCCCGGCCCCCCGUCAGAAACGUGAUUUCCUUCUGGAAGAGGCCACGUUUGGCAGUGGUUUCAGGGCCUGCAAGAGAGCUGGACGGCCCUGGUUCUGGGGGAGCCCGGCUGCUUGGAGGAAGGACGGGAGGGAGAGAAACCUCCCACUCUGUCCUUUGGGUCCUGGAGGACUGGCCGCCUGAACAAAUAGCUGAUUCCCAAACGUCGCUGUCCUGCGGAGGCAUCCGGGGGGGCCGGGGGCGCCGGCGCUGGGCUCUGUGCGCGUGCCCGAGCCCGGGAUCCGAGAUGUAAUUGUUUUCAGCAGAACACGGCCCGCCGUGUAAUUAGGCCGAGGGACUGCGGGCUCCCAGGGUUUAAGUGAUCUCAUGUGCGCUUGGCAGUGGCGCUGCGCUCCUUGGAUAAAAGUGCGGUGUAUUUUCACCUACAGGAUGGUUCCCAGAGUGGACAGGGCAGCGGCAGCCGCAUUGCCUGCCCGCCUCCUGGGGCUGGCAGCCCGGCUCCCGGGUGGCACUGUGAGCGGGGAGGUCAGGAAGAAGGGCUUCCGGGGGCCCCCCCACCGUCAGCCAGGGGUGACCGCACCAGCCUCCAGUUGCUCUCGACAGACUGGGCCCCCCGGUCUCUCUUAGCAGGACACACUGGUCAAAGCCAAGAUUUUAUUGCUGGAGACACGCGUGUCCCUGCUCUUUGGUCCACCUUCAUUUUGAUCAUUAAAGUGUAAGUACAGGAGAGCUGGGCAGGAGGGAGGCGGCCAGUGCGAUGGGCUUUAUCCCUUCAGCCCAUGAAGCCCGCAGAGAGAAGGGUGGUGCAGGGGAGACUGAUGUGGGAUGGGGCUUGCGGGGGGAGCACCGGGACGGGGGGAGGGAAGAGCCUGAACAGGAAUCUGUCCCUGCGUAAGAAAGUCUAACACGGUUCAGCAUGGUUUGAUUUUCAAGAUAAUUUUUUAAAAAUAUUGGUUCCCUUCAUUGUCUGAUAAGAGCCCCUAGCUCUGUAGCCUCAGGCAAGUUAAUUAACUUCUCUGAGCCCCUCACUUUUUCCCAAGGUGUAAAAGAGGGUAAUAAUACCUCCCUCUUCGGGGGUAGUUGUUGCAGGGAUGGAAUGAAAUCGGCACGGUGGGAUGUAAAGCGUAGCUAGAAUUGUGGUUAAAGGAAAAGGAAGAUGGCCCCGCAAGAAUAACUGCGAGGCAGGUGCCACUGUUAGCCCUACGUUGUAGUGGGGGCAUUAGGAGCACAGAACAGCUAAGGGACCUGCCCCCGGACACACAGCUCUAAGUGACCGGGUUCUGAAGCAGCCUGGCUCCGGGAUCCGUGCCCUCAGCCACUAGCGUGACCCCGCCUCGCCUCUGCAAACAGACGCCUCGGUAAAAGCUCCCUGCGUUGAUGUCAGCGCGGAGCAAAGCGGGAGCGGGCAGACCCCGCACGAUCAGUGCCGCAGGAGUGCGGGCGCAGCCGCGAUGGGGCGAUUGCUCACUGUGCGUCGGGAUAUUCUUCUGUUGGCUGUCAUUGUAAAGAUGAAUUUGAGAAAGCGCGUCCUGAAAGAAGCUAGUCUGCCUUCUGAGGCUUUGCCUGACGUGGCCGUCCUUUGAGCCUGUUUGUUUGGCAUCUUUCUGCGAUUGGCACAGACCACUCGGGGGCUGUUUGUGAUGAGAGUUGAUUGUCAGGAAAUGAACGAUAAGGGCUUAGCCUUGUGUUCCCCGGAUCCGGCCUGAGUUUCUUUGCUUCUGGCUCAGCAGCCCCUCCUGCUCCAAGGGAAAGGGCGUGAUGGCUGGUCCCUCAAGACUUGGCGUGUGGUCCCAGUGUUGCCGAGGCUCGAUGGAGACGAGCUGAUAAGCGCCAGCUCUCCAGGGAUCUUGCGUGAUGUCCCAGAGAAACCUCCCCAGGGACGGCCUGUUUUCUAACCGCGGUUGCUCAGCCUCCUGAAGACAGUGAGGUCUCGGUUCUGUGAGGCCCUGCCUGAAACGAGCCCCUCCCUUGAGUUUCGUGAGCUGGGGUUCAGCAUUCUUGGUCUCCUGGGGUUUCAGUCUGGCCCCCGAGAAGCAGAGCCUGAGACAGGAUCUGGUGGGGUGGUUUCUUCGGGCGAGACCCCGGUGAGCAGGCACAAGGGAGUUCAGAGAUCAGAAAGGGAAGGAAUCCAGGCUGCCUUCCUGCACGUGAAGUGCGGGCCCGCCAGAGACCCCCGAGAAAGCAGGCAGGGCUGCCCUGAGGAGCGCCUUGGGCAUCCCCUUCCCCACACUUUGCAGCUGCAACUCCCUUGGGGCCAGAGGAAGCCCCUGCCCCCUGCAGGUGGGCGGGAUGAGGCCCAGGGGGUGGAGGCGGGGCGUGUCAGUGAGCUGGGAAGUGUGCCAGCUGCUGCGGGUAGAGUCAGGUGGGCCAGGGGGAUUGGGGCCAGCGCGACAGGUGCCCUUCUGUGUCUUCUUCCAUGAAAGGUGCUGGUUUCCUACAGACCUUCUCUCACUCCUCUUCUGCCUCCAUCUUCAAGAAAUAUGUCUCAGGGAAUAAAAGUGCUGAUAAACCUCUAAGGGGCAUUAUCACUAAAAUUAGUGUAAGUGUAUCUAUAAUAAAAUUAGGAUUGGCUCAAAAUUGAGAUGCACAAUAGCCACAGCAAAAAUUGGAGCUUCUCAAAUUUUAAUCUGUGCAUGACUCAGCCAGGAAUCUUGUUAAAAAUGCAGAUUCUGAUCCAGUAGCUCUGGGGUAGGGUUGAGAAGCUGUAUUUCUAACCAGCCAGCUCCCAGGUGGUGUCAAGGCUAUUGGUCUGUGGAUCACUUUUUGUAGCAAGGGCUUAACCGAGUGAAAAAUUUCUCUUUCGUAAAAAUGCCGGAGGAUAGACUGGACCAGUAUGCUUUGCUCUGUGUAGUCCUCAGGGGCCAGGCCUGUCCUUUUGUGUUGCUGUAAUGUGGGCAACUUCCACCCCCAAGGUCCAGUUGAGAGGCCAAGAUGGCUGCUUCAGCUCCAGUCAUUUCACCUGCAUUCCAGAGAAAGGGCUGAAGAGUGGGAAAGUAAUUGUGGUUUUACAAAUUUAAGUUUUUUAAGUAGAUCCAUGUGCAUCUGUAAGAAAUAAUACAGUGAGAUCCUAUGUACCCUUCAUCUGGUUUCUCCCAAUGACAACAACUUAAAAAAAAAAAAAA
rnacentral:lncRNA from 1 species